GGUUCGGUAAAGAGCGAGGCGGGAUUCACAAAGGAACGAGCAUCGCCG
rnacentral:SRP_RNA from 1 species